rnacentral:lncRNA from 1 species
CAGAUGCAGCCUACAUCAAGGAAGCUGCCUGCUGUUAGGGGAACACGAUACCUGCAGAGGCUCCGGUCCUGACAACGCCUUCAGCUCCACCUCCUACCAAAGACCUGUGUGGUGUCAGCAGCAGCCCCAUUUGCAGCAGAACUUCCCAGAGCAGGUUAUCUGCAAUGGAAGCAGUGAUGCAGCACCCACAUGUCCCAGAGGAAGGGUUGUCAGCUGACAGCUCACAGCUGGAUCACGCUGGGGGAUAUCUGGGCUGCUGACCCAAUAAAAUGGAGCCCCAGUGACCUGCUGUCAGGGCUUUCACAACUGGUCCCGCAUGACGACCCUGCCUGACAACCCCAACUUGGCUUCAGCCUUCCU